CCUCAGUAGGCCACUGUCAUUCCGUCGAGUUGCAUCUUGCCAGCGGAGUACACUUUCUCCCGCCCACGCGAGAUCAAACCGCGCGAAUCCAAAAUCACCGCGAAUCAACGGCGACCAAGUCGAAAUUUUUCCCGCGCAACUACGCGAUCUCCAGAGUCUGAUCAACCCUCGGUUCUUCGACUCUGUUGCCAUCAUCGCCUCCUUUCACCACUGUCUAUAAUAUAUAUAUCGCUUUUUUCGUCCUCGAUCGUCGCAUCGUUUGCGAUACGAUACGCGUACAUACAUGUGGAUCCAACAACGACGAAGCUGUUCCUCGUGGAUCCUUGCCGCGGCUUGAGCAGCGGAUUUCGAUAAAAAGAGAAAAGUAAAGAAGUGGCGCCCAUUGGGCGUGCUGCAACAUUGGCUCGGUCGAUUAAUUUGAUUAGAUAUAAAUAUCGCAGGAUGUGCGCCGGCUGAUCUGCAUGAUUUUCUGCGCUGCUUGUCAAAGGUGUCGGCUGCCUCCUUUUUCGCUGUCUCUCUUUCUCUACGUCUCUGUCUCACGCUCUCUGUCUUAUGUCGGUAUCUCUCUGUCUUCCCUUCCCUCCUGGUAAACACGUAAAAUUCGUCCCACCUCCGCCACCUGUACGGCCCCGUCCUCUCGAUUCCUCGAAUACGACAGAUGCGCACAACGUUUGGAAAUAAUUCGUGCGAGCCAGAACGUGCGAGAUCCGAGAUCGAUCGAAGUUGGAAAGUUUCGUGAUGCAGUGAUCCGAGGGGAUCGCGAUACCACCACUCUCAGCCGAAUCCGAGAGAAAUGGACAAGGACAGGCAUGGGCAAGAAUAGCACAGAAUAUUAUUGCUGCUAAUUACGUUUGGGAAAUGACGUGGAUAGAGAUGAAGCGGUGGCGAACGAGACCAAAUCAAACGUGAAAAUCGUUCAAGGGGGAAAUAUGAAAGGCGCCAAUAGUCGUGGAGAAAUUUUAAUAAAAGUCACAUCGACCAUCAACGACGAGUCUCAUUUACGGGCUCCGAAGUUUUGAAGUAUUCGCCUCGGCUUUUCUUUACAAAACCUUGGCGAACACCAAGGCUGCAAUAAUCAGAUUCUUGAGAGGGUUCCUGUCACCACUCAAGGAAUAACCACCUACGUACACAAAGAAGGAACAACCUCAGCCUACAUCUCGUUGCACGUCCAAUAAUAUUGCUUCAAAGUAGCUUUUACUAUCGCCUUUGUAAAUUUCAAGCUCGAACAAAUUAUAAAGUAUAAUUCUCGCAUGAAAUAAUCACGUAUUAUGUACAUUAUCAGUACAUUUGUUACCAGCCAUGAUUUAACUUUAAGCUUAAAAGAUGGGAGAUUUCUGACAGUUAUCGUUUAUAAUAAAAAUAUAUUUAAAUAAAUGAAGAUAUAUUAUUAAAUAUAUUGUACGAGAAAACGUGAAAGGCUUUUUGCUUAUUCGUUGUAGCAAUAUUCGAAUAACUCAAUAACCAAAGCAUCGAACACUAUGAUAGUUCACUUAGCAAUACUAAAUAUCAUUUGGUGCAUCAUGUGACUUACACAAUUUGCUUAUCCAGUUGAUAAUGCACAUGGUACGUGAGUGUACGCGAUAUUCGCCAUACUAAUUGCA
rnacentral:misc_RNA from 1 species